rnacentral:lncRNA from 1 species
CAGCAUUCAAGCACUGCAAAAAGCCUACUCGGCCCCAGCUAAAAGCUCAGGCUCAAUAUGGUUAUUUCCAGCUCCGUGGGCAGAUGAAGACAUUUCUGGUGUGCUCCCAUUUCUGGAGGUGCCCUGAAAGGAUGACUGUGUUGGCAGCACUCUUCCUGACUCCACUAAAUGCAAGGCUGCAGAUAAGCCAUAUGAAACACACUUAGGUCACUGACCAGACCGGGCUGAUGAAUAUUACAGCAACAACCUGAAAUGUAAGCAAUAACAUUGCAUGCAGCACCUUUUGCCUUCAUUACAACAGCUACUAGAACGAGACCUCCAUUUUUCACCUCUCCUAAUUCCUUCUAGCAGGGAUAUGCUCAGAACAGGGCCUGACCCUUCCUCUCCUGAAGCCCCACCAGUGCUCACCGUGAAGAACUGCAUGCUGUGAGUGCUGCCAGGCAUCUGCAGCCAAAGGAGGCUCCUGUGUACCACGGAGAGGUAAGGGCAGACCUGGGGCUGUGGUGGCCAGAAAGGCUCUCACAAGGAGACAGUGAGGGCUGUAAACCCAGUCUGCAGUGACCUCCUCCUUGGCAUAGCUUCUUCCAGCACUGCUGCACACUCCCACUGACCCCGUGUGAGGCAGUAGCUGCUAGUCCUGCUCUGCUGCCCAAUUGUGAAAGAAGUGCUGGAGCUGGAGCAGCAGCUGCAGCCCUCUGCUCAACCAUGCUGGGCCCAACCUGGUCUCAUUCGCGUGUUCCUGCUUCAGCCAUGGCCCUGCUCACUGCUCGUUGGGCCCUGCAGCUCCCCCACCACACAUCUUGCCUUUGUAAAGCACAGAAGCAAGACAGGAGAGAAUUACAUGCUAAAAAAGAUGAGGAGCACCUUCAUCUCCUGGAGUUUGGGAGUUACUAACAUUGAGGAAGAGGUUAGAUUUAACCACUUAGAGAUACAGUUUGCAGCUGGAUGAAAAUGCAUAGUUUAUAC